rnacentral:rRNA from 1 species
UACGUAGGGUGCAAGCGUUAAUCGGAAUUACUGGGCGUAAAGCGUGCGCAGGCGGUGAUGUAAGACAGUUGUGAAAUCCCCGGGCUCAACCUGGGAACUGCAUCUGUGACUGCAUUGCUGGAGGUCGAGAGAGGUGAGUGGAAUUCCGAGUGUAGAGGUGAAAUUCGUAGAUAUUCGGAGGAACACCAGUGGCGAAGGCGACACGCUGGGCCGUACCUGACACUGAUGCGCGACAGCAUGGGGAGCAAACAGG